CAUAUUAAUUUCAGCAGCCAU
rnacentral:miRNA from 1 species